rnacentral:rRNA from 1 species
CGCGGCCUAUCAGCUUGUUGGUGAGGUAACGGCUCACCAAGGCAUCGACGGGUAGCUGGUCUGAGAGGACGAUCAGCCACACUGGAACUGAGACACGGUCCAGACUCCUACGGGAGGCAGCAGCAGGGAAUAUUGCACAAUGGGCGAAAGCCUGAUGCAGCAACGCCGCGUGAGGGAUGACGGCCUUCGGGUUGUAAACCUCUUUCAGGAGGGAAGAAAUUGACGGUACCUCCAAAAGAAGCCCCGGCUAACUACGUGCCAGCAGCCGCGGUAAUACGUAGGGGGCGAGCGUUGUCCGGAUUUAUUGGGCGUAAAGAGCUCGUAGGCGGCUCAGUAAGUCGGCUGUGAAAGUCCGAGGCUCAACUUCGGAACUGCAGUCGAUACUGCUGUGGCUAGAGUCAGGUAGAGGAGAAUGGAAUUCCCGGUGUAGCGGUGGAAUGCGCAGAUAUCGGGAGGAACACCAGUAGCGAAGGCGGUUCUCUGGGCCUGUACUGACGCUGAGGAGCGAAAGCGUGGGGAGCAAACAGGAUUAGAUACCCUGGUAGUCCACGCCGUAAACGUUGGGUACUAGGUGUGGCGAUCGGACUAACGAUUGCCGUGCCGAAGCUAACGCAUUAAGUACCCCGCCUGGGGAGUACGG